GGCCUCGAGGUGUAUAACAUGUAAGAUUGCAAAUCUUAAGAAGCCGGAUAAAUCUGGCCGGGGCUU
rnacentral:tRNA from 1 species